GGGCGUUGGGGGGUCUAUACAUGCAGUAGAACGCUGAAGAGAGGAGCUUGCUCUUCUUGGAUGAGUUGCGAACGGGUGAGUAACGCGUAGGUAACCUGCCUUGUAGCGGGGGAUAACUAUUGGAAACGAUAGCUAAUACCGCAUAACAAUGGAUGACACAUGUCAUUUAUUUGAAAGGGGCAAUUGCUCCACUACAAGAUGGACCUGCGUUGUAUUAGCUAGUAGGUGAGGUAAUGGCUCACCUAGGCGACGAUACAUAGCCGACCUGAGAGGGUGAUCGGCCACACUGGGACUGAGACACGGCCCAGACUCCUACGGGAGGCAGCAGUAGGGAAUCUUCGGCAAUGGGGGCAACCCUGACCGAGCAACGCCGCGUGAGUGAAGAAGGUUUUCGGAUCGUAAAGCUCUGUUGUAAGUCAAGAACGGGUGUGAGAGUGGAAAGUUCACACUGUGACGGUAGCUUACCAGAAAGGGACGGCUAACUACGUGCCAGCAGCCGCGGUAAUACGUAGGUCCCGAGCGUUGUCCGGAUUUAUUGGGCGUAAAGCGAGCGCAGGCGGUUUGAUAAGUCUGAAGUUAAAGGCUGUGGCUCAACCAUAGUUCGCUUUGGAAACUGUCAAACUUGAGUGCAGAAGGGGAGAGUGGAAUUCCAUGUGUAGCGGUGAAAUGCGUAGAUAUAUGGAGGAACACCGGUGGCGAAAGCGGCUCUCUGGUCUGUAACUGACGCUGAGGCUCGAAAGCGUGGGGAGCGAACAGGAUUAGAUACCCUGGUAGUCCACGCCGUAAACGAUGAGUGCUAGGUGUUGGAUCCUUUCCGGGAUUCAGUGCCGCAGCUAACGCAUUAAGCACUCCGCCUGGGGAGUACGACCGCAAGGUUGAAACUCAAAGGAAUUGACGGGGGCCCGCACAAGCGGUGGAGCAUGUGGUUUAAUUCGAAGCAACGCGAAGAACCUUACCAGGUCUUGACAUCCCGAUGCUAUUUCUAGAGAUAGAAAGUUACUUCGGUACAUCGGUGACAGGUGGUGCAUGGUUGUCGUCAGCUCGUGUCGUGAGAUGUUGGGUUAAGUCCCGCAACGAGCGCAACCCCUAUUGUUAGUUGCCAUCAUUCAGUUGGGCACUCUAGCGAGACUGCCGGUAAUAAACCGGAGGAAGGUGGGGAUGACGUCAAAUCAUCAUGCCCCUUAUGACCUGGGCUACACACGUGCUACAAUGGUUGGUACAACGAGUUGCGAGUCGGUGACGGCGAGCUAAUCUCUUAAAGCCAAUCUCAGUUCGGAUUGUAGGCUGCAACUCGCCUACAUGAAGUCGGAAUCGCUAGUAAUCGCGGAUCAGCACGCCGCGGUGAAUACGUUCCCGGGCCUUGUACACACCGCCCGUCACACCACGAGAGUUUGUAACACCCGAAGUCGGUGAGGUAACCUUUUGGAGCCAGCCGCUAAGUGAACAAGUU
rnacentral:rRNA from 1 species